GGAGGCAGCAGGGGGGAAUAUUGGACAAUGGGCGCAAGCCUGAUUCAACCAUGCCGUGUGUGUGAAGAAGGCCUUAGGGUUGUAAAGCACUUUCAGUGGGGAGGAAGGCCUUAAGGUUAAUAGCCUUCAGAAUUGACGUUACCUACAGAAGAAGCACCGGCUAACUCCGUGCCAGCAGCCGCGGUAAUACUGGGGGUGCGAGGGUUAAUCGGAAUUACUGGGCGUAAAGCGCGCGUAGGCGGUUAGAUAAGCGGGAUGUGAAAGCCCGGGGGUCAACCUGGGAAGGGCAUUGAAAACUGGCAGGCUAGAGUACGAGAGAGGGUAGUGGAAUUUCCUGUGUAGCGGUGAAAUGCGUAGAUAUUGGAAGGAACAUCAGUGGCGAAGGCG
rnacentral:rRNA from 1 species